UACGGAAGGGGCUAGCGUUGCUCGGAAUUACUGGGCGUAAAGAGCGCGUAGGCGGCUUACCAAGUUGGGGGUGAAAUCCCGGAGCUCAACUCCGGAACUGCCUUCUAAACUGGUAGGCUCGAGUCCGGAAGAGGGGCGUGGAAUUCCCAGUGUAGAGGUGAAAUUCGUAGAUAUUGGGAAGAACACCGGUGGCGAAGGCGGCGCCCUGGUCCGGUACUGACGCUGAGGCGUGAAAGCGUGGGGAGCAAACAGG
rnacentral:rRNA from 1 species